rnacentral:rRNA from 1 species
GAUGAACGCUGGCGGCGUGCCUAAUACAUGCAAGUCGAGCGAACGGACGAGAAGCUUGCUUCUCUGAUGUUAGCGGCGGACGGGUGAGUAACACGUGGAUAACCUACCUAUAAGACUGGGAUAACUUCGGGAAACCGGAGCUAAUACCGGAUGAUAUUUUGAACCGCAUGGUUCAAAAGUGAAAGACGGUCUUGCUGUCACUUAUAGAUGGAUCCGCGCUGCAUUAGCUAGUUGGUAAGGUAACGGCUUACCAAGGCAACGAUGCAUAGCCGACCUGAGAGGGUGAUCGGCCACACUGGAACUGAGACACGGUCCAGACUCCUACGGGAGGCAGUAGUAGGGAAUCUUCCGCAAUGGGCGGAAGCCUGACGGAGCAACGCCGCGUGAGUGAUGAAGGUCUUCGGAUCGUAAAACUCUGUUAUUAGGGAAGAACAUAUGUGUAAGUAACUGUGCACAUCUUGACGGUACCUAAUCAGAAAGCCACGGCUAACUACGUG